ACGGACUUAAAUCCGUUGGCUUUAUUGACCGUGAGGGUUCAAGUCCCUCUACCCCCAA
rnacentral:tRNA from 1 species